ACGGUCUUUUCGUGCACUGGACUGUUUAUUUUCGGACGCGGCCAAUCUAGAGCUCGUUUUAAUUUCGCGGUCAAGAAUUAAUUAUAAUUCAACUAUGAUCGGCUAUCCCUCGACACAAUCGCAUUUCACAUACAAGUUUACGGUAAUCGUAGCAAAAACAUGCGGUUGUGUUUGGUAGGCUUGUCACCCGUUUUUGGUACAUUGUGAACAGUUCUAGAGGAGUAAUCACUAGUGCAUACGGCUAACAGGGUACCCGUAUGGCCUACGUACAACAACGAACGGUUAAAAAAACAAAAGACGAAAAAAAGCGAAAAGACGUGUUUGAUCGAAAGUCUCUCUCGAAAGUUACAUGCAGUGUCAGGAAAAUCUAGAUAAAAAUGAUAUUAUCUUUCAUCUUACCCAAAUGAUUUUAUAAAUGUUAUUUAAACGUCAUCUAACAUAGAUGAAUCAAUAAAGAAAAAUAUAUCAUAGUGUUCGUUGUAUAAUAUCUAUUUUGUAUAUUAUAUUCAUGUUAUAAAGGCUGGACUAUUGUACUGUGAUGCUGUUUGCACACAAAACAGUUAAGCAUAAAGAGUUGUAUAACUAAUAAUACAAGAUAAUGAAACGGUUUUUUUUAUUUUAUUAAUAUAUUUUGAAGUCCCUUUAAGUAAGUAGUGUAAUUUUAUCAAAAUAAUGAACAAUAACAUUGCCAUUGCAUCAAUACCAGUUUAAAUAAAACUAUCCAAAUUAAAAUGGUUAAGUAAAGUCUGGUUCGGCAUAAUAGAGUUGACGAAAUUUUUUGGAUUAGUAUUGAUUGAUAUUGUUAAUGAUUAAAAUCAUUGUUGUAAAAUGCUUCGAUGUAUACUUGAAACAAAUUUUAAAAAAAUGU